rnacentral:misc_RNA from 1 species
AGCAGCCGCGGUAAUUCCAGCUCCAAUAGCGUAUAUUAAAGUUGUUGCAGUUAAAAAGCUCGUAGUUGAAUUUCGGGAUUGGCGCAUCGGUCGUGCCUUACGGGGUAUGAACUGGUGCAGUCAAUUUCUCACCUUCCGGAGAACCGCGAUGUCCUUAAUUGGGUGCCGCGGGGAACCAGGACCUUUACUU